rnacentral:rRNA from 1 species
AUUGAACGCUGGCGGCAGGCCUAACACAUGCAAGUCGAACGAGUGGCGGACGGGUGAGUAAUGUCUGGGAAACUGCCUGAUGGAGGGGGAUAACUACUGGAAACGGUAGCUAAUACCGCAUACCAUCGGAUGUGCCCAGCUGGGAUUAGCUUGUUGGUGGGGUAACGGCUCACCAAGGCGACGAUCCCUAGCUGGUCUGAGAGGAUGAUCAGCCACGCGGGAACUGAGACACGGUCCAGAGUCCUACGGGAGGCAGCAGUGGGGAAUAUUGGACAAUGGGCGCAAGCCUGAUCCAGCCAUACCGCGUGGGUGAAGAAGGCCUUCGGGUUGUAAAGCCCUUUUGUUGGGAAAGCGGUACCCGAAGAAUAAGCACCGGCUAACUUCGUGCCAGCAGCCGCGGUAAUAC